UACGUAGGGUGCAAGCGUUAAUCGGAAUUACUGGGCGUAAAGCGUGCGCAGGCGGUUUUGUAAGACAGAUGUGAAAUCCCCGGGCUUAACCUGGGAAUGGCAUUGGUGACUGCACGGCUAGAGUGUGUCAGAGGGGGGUAGAAUUCCACGUGUAGCAGUGAAAUGCGUAGAGAUGCGGAGGAACACCGAUGGCGAAGGCAGCCCCCUGGGCUGACACUGACGCUCAGGCACGAAAGCGUGGGGAGCAAACAGG
rnacentral:rRNA from 1 species